UACGAAGGGGGCUAGGCGUUGUUCGGAAUUACUGGGCGUAAAGCGCACGUAGGCGGAUAUUUAAGUCAGGGGUGAAAUCCCGGAGCUCAACUCCGGAACUGCCUUUGAUACUGGGUAUCUUGAGUAUGGAAGAGGUAAGUGGAAUUGCGAGUGUAGAGGUGAAAUUCGUAGAUAUUCGCAGGAACACCAGUGGCGAAGGCGGCUUACUGGUCCAUUACUGACGCUGAGGUGCGAAAGCGUGGGGAGCAAACAGG
rnacentral:rRNA from 1 species